AAUCACUCAAAACAUAAACCCUAUUUUAUUUCAUAAAACCCAAGUCAUCCGAAAAAAAACUCAACUUUGCAAAGCUCUUACAAAUUCAUAUCAACUCCAAAUUACCCAAAAUCAAUGCCCAUAGAAACUCUAUUCAACCUUCUCUCCAAUUGCGUUCUUUGAUUUUCCAAAGAAUCCCGGAAUAGUCGUCGAGACUCGGUUUUGUGCCUCAGGGUCUGAUUUCGACCCUGGUUCAUAACCGGCCCUCUCCAGGUAUCAAUA
rnacentral:lncRNA from 1 species